GAGUUUGAUCCUGGCUCAGAUUGAACGCUGGCGGAAUGCUUUACACAUGCAAGUCGAGCGGCAGCGCGGGGCAACCUGGCGGCGAGCGGCGAACGGGUGAGUAAUGCAUCGGAACAUGUCCUGUCGUGGGGGAUAGCCCGGCGAAAGCCGGAUUAAUACCGCAUACGUCCGAGAGGAGAAAGUGGGGGACCGAAAGGCCUCACGCGAUUGGGUUGGCCGAUGUCCGAUUAGCUAGUUGGUGGGGUAAAGGCUCACCAAGGCGAUGAUCGGUAGCUGGUCUGAGAGGAUGAUCAGCCACACUGGGACUGAGACACGGCCCAGACUCCUACGGGAGGCAGCAGUGGGGAAUUUUGGACAAUGGGGGCAACCCUGAUCCAGCCAUUCCGCGUGAGUGAAGAAGGCCUUCGGUUGU
rnacentral:rRNA from 1 species